rnacentral:rRNA from 1 species
AGUGAACGCUGGCGGCGUGCUUAACACAUGCAAGUCGAACGGACUGAAAAAGAGCUUGCUCUUUUGAAGUUAGUGGCGCACGGGUGAGUAAUGUAUAGCUAACCUGCCCCUUGGAGGGGGACAACAGUUGGAAACGACUGCUAAUACCCCAUACUCCGUUGAGACAUUAAGUUUUAACGGGAAAUGCUUUUACGCCAAGGGAUGGGGCUGUAUCGUAUCAGCUUGUUGGUGAGGUAACGGCUCACCAAGGCUAUGACGCGUAGCUGGUCUGAGAGGAUGAUCAGCCACACUGGAACUGAGACACGGUCCAGACUCCUACGGGAGGCAGCAGUGGGGAAUAUUGCACAAUGGGGGAAACCCUGAUGCAGCAACGCCGCGUGGAGGAUGACGCAUUUCGGUGUGUAAACUCCUUUUAUUUGGGAAGAUAAUGACGGUACCAAAUGAAUAAGCACCGGCUAACUCCGUGCCAGCAGCCGCGGUAAUACGGAGGGUGCAAGCGUUACUCGGAAUCACUGGGCGUAAAGGGCGCGUAGGCGGGUUGUCAAGUCUUAAGUGAAAUCCAACGGCUUAACCGUUGAACUGCUUAGGAAACUGGCAACCUAGAGUAAGGGAGAGGUAGAUGGAAUUGGUGGUGUAGGGGUAAAAUCCGUAGAUAUCACCAGGAAUACUCAUUGCGAAGGCGAUCUACUGGAACUUAACUGACGCUGAGGCGCGAAAGCGUGGGGAGCAAACAGGAUUAGAUACCCUGGUAGUCCACGCCCUAAACGAUGAACACUAGUUGUUGCUUUGCUAGUCAAGGCAGUAAUGCACUUAACAGAUUAAGUGUUCCGCCUGGGGAGUACGGUCGCAAGAUUAAAACUCAAAGGAAUAGACGGGGACCCGCACAAGCGGUGGAGCAUGUGGUUUAAUUCGAAGAUACACGAAGAACCUUACCUGGGCUUGAUAUCCUAAGAAUCCCGUAGAGAUACGGGAGUGUCGGCUUGCCGAAACUUAGAGACAGGUGCUGCACGGCUGUCGUCAGCUCGUGUCGUGAGAUGUUGGGUUAAGUCCCGCAACGAGCGCAACCCUCGUGUUUAGUUGCUAACGGUUCGGCCGAGCACUCUAAACAGACUGCCUUCGUAAGGAGGAGGAAGGUGGGGACGACGUCAAGUCAUCAUGGCCCUUAUGCCCAGGGCUACACACGUGCUACAAUGGCGCGUACAAAGAGCCGCAAUACCGCGAGGUGGAGCAAAUCUUUAAAACGCGUCUCAGUUCGGAUUGAAGUCUGCAACUCGACUUCAUGAAGCUGGAAUCGCUAGUAAUCGUGAAUCAGCUAUGUCACGGUGAAUACGUUCCCGGGUC